rfam:Triticum aestivum genome assembly, contig: Triticum_aestivum_CS42_TGACv1_scaffold_030249_1BL
AAAGUACUUCCUCUGUCCCAAAAUUCUCGUCUUAUAUUUGUCUAGAUAUGGAUGUAUCAAGUCACAUUUUAGUAUUAGAUACAUCCGUAUCUAGACAAAUCUAAGACAAGAAAUUUGGGACAGAGGGAGUAGUUG